rnacentral:misc_RNA from 1 species
GGGGGGGUAGGGCUGCACUACAGAUGAGAAGGAAGGAUUUUACAUGAUGCAACUUCACAUAAAUUGUUUUGUAUUUGUUUUGAAAUACAUUUUCAGGUGUAAUAGGUCUGUGUGCAUCAUGUGAAGUCCUUAUAUCAUCCCACAGUGCAUGAUACUUUGACAGAAAUCACCCUCAUAACUUAAUUAUUAUCAUAUGGAAAUAAAAUUGAUAAAGU